GAUGAACGCUGGCGGCGUGCCUAACACAUGCAAGUCGAGCGAACGGACGAUAAGCUUGCGUUUCUGAUGGUAGCGGCGGACGGGCGAGUAACACGUGGAUAACCUACCUAUAAGACUGGGAGAACUUCGGGAAACCGGAGCUAAUACCGGAGAAUAUUUUGAACCGCAUGGUGCAAAAGUGAAAGACGGUCUUGCUGUCACUUAGAGAUGGAUCCGCGCUGCAUUAGCUAGUUGGUAAGGUAACGGCUUACCAAGGCAACGAUGCAUAGCCGACCUGAGAGGAUGAUCGGCCACACUGGAACUGAGACACGGUCCAGACUCCUACGGGAGGCAGCAGUAGGGAAUAUUGGGCAAUGGGCGCAAGCCUGAUCCAGCCAUGCCGCGUGAGUGAUGAAGGCCUUCGGGUCGUAAAGCCCUUUUGUUAGGGAAGAAAAUCUGCGUAUGUAUACGUCGCUAUCCUGACGGUACCCAAUCAGAAAGCACCGGCUAACUUCGUG
rnacentral:rRNA from 1 species